AUGGCUCUCCCCAACACCCCGCCCGUGGACUACCCCAGCUUCAAGCUCGUCCUCGUCGGCGACGGCGGCACCGGCAAGACGACGUUCGUGAAGAGGCACGUCACCGGGGAGUUCGAGAAGAAGUACGAACCGACGAUCGGCGUGGAGGUGCGGCCGCUGGACUUCCAGACGAGCCACGGCAAGAUCAGGUUCUACUGCUGGGACACGGCCGGACAGGAGAAGUUCGGUGGCCUCCGUGACGGAUACUACAUCCAUGGCCAGUGUGCAAUCAUCAUGUUCGAUGUCACCUCCCGACUCACCUACAAGAACGUCCCCACCUGGCACAGAGACAUCUGCAGGGUGUGCGAGAACAUCCCGAUCGUCCUGUGCGGCAACAAGGUGGACGUGAAGAACCGGCAGGUGAAAGCCAAGAUGGUGACCUUCCACAGGAAGAAGAACCUCCAGUACUACGAGAUCUCUGCCAAGAGCAACUACAACUUCGAGAAGCCUUUCCUCUACCUUGCAAGGAAGCUCUCAGGGGACAUGACCCUCCGGUUCGUCGAGGAGACGGCCCUCCUCCCCGCCGACGUGACCGUCGACCUCGCCGCGCAGCAACAGAUUGAGGCAGAGAUAGCAGCUGCGGCGGCAAUGCCCCUCCCGGAUGACGAUGAUGACAACAUCAUGGACUGA
rnacentral:rRNA from 1 species